rnacentral:rRNA from 1 species
AUUGAACGCUGGCGGCAUGCCUUACACAUGCAAGUCGAACGGUAACAGGUCUUCGGAUGCUGACGAGUGGCGAACGGGUGAGUAAUACAUCGGAACGUGCCCAGACGUGGGGGAUAACGAGGCGAAAGCUUUGCUAAUACCGCAUACGAUCUAAGGUUGAAAGCAGGGGACCGCAAGGCCUUGCGCGUUUGGAGCGGCCGAUGGCAGCUUAGGUAGUUGGUGGGAUAAAAGCUUACCAAGCCGACGAUCUGUAGCUGGUCUGAGAGGACGACCAGCCACACUGGGACUGAGACACGGCCCAGACUCCUGCGGGAGGCAGCAGUGGGGAAUUUUAGGCAAGGGGGGAAAGCCUGAUCCAGCAAUGCCGCGUGCAGGAUGAAGGCCUUCGGGUUGUAAAGUGCUUUUGUACGGAGCGAAAAGGCUCUGGCUAAUACCUGGGGCACAUGACGGUACCGGAAGAAUAAGCACCGGCUAACUACGUG